UGGCCAUGUAUUUCUCAGAGCAAGAGUGGAGAAACCUGGAGGAUUGGCAGAAAGACCUUUAUAAGAACAUAAUGAAGUCCAAUUAUGAGACUUUGGUCUUCUUGGGAGCCGCUGUCUUCCGGGAAGCUACAGGAAACAACCCUGCUGCAGCCCCGAGGAAGCACCAGCUCGGAACUGGGCACGGAGACCUCGGAGUUGGGCACGAGGAGCCCGGAGCAGGCACGGGCCGGCUCGGCCUCCAGCAGCGCGGAGCGCAGUCUAGGCUCCCCGGGGCCCGCCCCCUGGCUCGGCACCCAAUCUCGCUGCCCCGGAGGCUCCGGUGAGCCGAGCCGAGGUGGGGCUGCACCCCCCCGGGGGGGGUGGCAGGAAAGGGAGUGCGCUAUGGCCGAGACCGCUCCUGCUCAGGCUGCAGGGUGGGACGUGGGCGCGCCUUUCCGGGGCCUCCAGCCAGACGCCCCCUUCCAGGCCUCAGAGCUUUCCCUGUGGUCCGUGGUGGCGGCGAUGCAGGCGGUGGAGAGGACCAUCUGUUCCCAUGCCAGCCGGCUAAUGACCCUGGAGGGCCGGACAGGGGCCGUGGAGAAGAAGUUAAUCGACUGUGAGAAGACGGCCGUGGAGUUUGGGAACCAGCUGGACAGCAAAUGGGCCACGCUGGAGACUGUGCUCCAGGAGUACGGGCUGCUCCAGAGGAGGCUGGAGAACAUGGAGAACCUGCUGAGAAACCGUAACUUCUGGAUCCUCCGGCUCCCGCCGGGCUGCCGAGGGGAAGUCCCCAAGGUACCUGUGACAUUUGACGACGUGGCUGUGUAUUUCUCAGAGAAGGAGUGGGGGAACCUGGACAAGUGGCAGAAAGAGCUUUACAAGCACGUGAUGACAGGCAACUAUGAGAUGCUUGUCUCCUUGGACUAUGCUCUUUCCAAACCUGAAUUUUUGACCCGAAUUGAACAAGGGGAAGAGCCAUGUGUCCAGAAUCAGUUGGACUCAGAAGAGACAGAAAUAGCAACAAACCCUGAACCUGGGAUCCGGCCUCCAAUUUCUACUAAUGAUGUGCAGCCGUGUGUUAAGCAAGAAGAGCGAGGACCCAGGGAUCAGGAAGACGGAGAGGGACGUGUCCCCAUCGCAGACCUGAACAAAGAGGCUAAUCGGGCCAUGAGCAUAGUGAAGGAGCUGCAUCCUGUGGACACCAUGGAGAGUCUAGUGCUCCCUGAGCCACUGUCCAGAGGAGCUAGAGAAGGACUUCUCCCUGCCCCAGGUUGCAGCUCAGGCCCUGACACCCCAAACGGCUUCCAGCAGCAGCAGCUCCUGCUCCCAAGGCCAGGCCCUGUGCUGCCUCAGCUGGCCACCUGGUGGACCUCCCCAGCCAGAGAGCAACCACAUACUUGUGCUGAAUGUGGUAAGAGCUUCCGGCUGAAAGAGAACUUGAUGAAGCAUCAGAGGAGCCACAGGCAGGAGCCCAUGGAGACACAGAGGAGCAGUGGGCAGCAGGGCCCCAGAGCAGCUCUGCAGUGGGAGCCCCCAGGAGACAGGUCUUUCCCUGGUACCUCCCAGGCCAAGAGCUCCCGGCAGAGGGCAUCUCUCCUGCCCCGCCCACGACUGCAUGCCUGUGCUGAGCGGGGGAAGCGAUGCUCGGGGAGGCGGGGCCUGGGCAGACACCCGCAGGGCCAUCCCCCACCCCGGCCCUACCAGUGCCCGGAGUGUGACAAGAGUUUUGUGUGUUACUCCUGGCUCAAACGGCACCGGACCCUGCACACAGGGGAACGCCCCUUCCAGUGUCCUGAGUGUGAGAAGUGCUAUAGUCGGAAGGAGUACCUGCUCAACCACCAGCGGCUACACACGGGGGAGAAGCCCUUCCAUUGCGCUCAGUGUGGCCACAGCUUUAUGCUGAAGAGGAGUUUCAUCAGACACCAACAAAGGCACACCAGGAAAAUGGAGAAGCCUCCAGGAUGCCCUCCAGACUUCCUGGGCCAUCUGUCCAGUCUGACCAGGGAGAGUUGUGCCCGGAGUCCCCCGGGCCGGAACGGCUGGUUGGGGCCACCUGUUUCAAGGCCCCAGGUGGAGGCACUGCUCUACCCAUGGACAGAGGCCAGGGGCCAAGAUCCUCCACCAGCACAGAACAGCCCUUUGUGGACUUCCCAGGGCCCCAAGUCCAGCCCCGAAACCACAUUUCCAAUGGUGAAGACAGAGAUGUGGUUAUAAGUGGACUAAGGCCAACAAGAAUGGUGUGCAGAGAAUGGGGCAGGUAGGUGGCAUAGAGGGAGACCUGAGUUCAAAUCCUGCCUCCGACGUUUAGUAGCUGUGUGGCUCUGGGCAAGUCACUGACUCUUUCUCAGCCUCAGUUUCCUCAAAGCGCUAUAUCAAUUUUAGCUGUUCUCACCUGGGCUGAGAAUUGUGGAGGAUGGUGGGAGCUGUCCACAUGCGCCAGUGCUGAUCAGAAGCCAGUAACAUGGUGUGACUGGUGAGUGUCCAUGGGGAAGAAGGAUUUACCCUUGCUGUACCCUCUAAGUUUCGGGGAUUCAGUUCAAUUUAAGAAAUGUGUAAGUGCAAGGCACUAUGCUAAGUGCUGUGAAUCCAAAAAUUUAAAAACACAGAUCCGGGCCUAUAGUAACUCGUUCUACUUUGAGAGUACUACAGUACACAGAUUAAGACAAGGUAGGGAGUGUCAGGAGCAAAUGAUACCCAAAUAAAGUGCUCUAGGAAUAAUUUAGGAGUCAGACAGUCAGCAAACAUUUAUGAAAUGCUUCCUAUGUGCCAGACAUUGUGCUAAGACCCGGGGAUAAAAGGAAAGGCAAAAACACUACCUGUCUUCAGGGAGCUCACAUGGAAAAAAUGCAUUCUGUUUUGAGGAUGACUGAAGGAAGGUACACCUGAGCUUAGACUUGAAGGAAAAUAAGGCUUUUAGAAUCUUUAUUAGAAGAUUCUUCUUAGAAUUCUUUCUUUUUAAAUCCUUUAAAAAGCUUUGGAAGCUUUUUUUUUUAGAAGGUGAAAAGGGAGUACAUUCUUAGAACGGGGGAUGACCUGUGCAAAUUAAUACAAGCAGAAGAUGGCAUGUUGCUUCCAAGAAGUAACUAGUAUCUCAUUUUGGCUAGAACGAGUGUAAGUAGGAGAGUAAAAUGAAAUAAGGUAGAAAUCAUGUAGUGGAAGGGAACGUCUGAAAUGCUAGAAUGAUUUAAAGGAAUAGGGAUCCACUAAAGGCCUUUGAGCAGGGGAAGGACAGAAUCACGCCUUGGGAAGAACAUUUUUGGCCAAAGUAGAAAAGAUGGAUUGCAGAAAGUUCUCAGAAUUACCUUUCCAAAUAACUUUAAUAGACUGGCACAUUGAUAGUGUGAUGUGUCCGAUUUUUGGUAGUAGGAACACUCCCUCGAGCCAUGCAGCAAAGGCAGGCAGACGCCAACCCUUCCUUCUCAUCCAUCGCUACAGGUCUUGUCCGCCUUUUUGCAUCAAUCCUCCAUAGCGGGCAUACCCAAUCCAAAGCAGGCCGAUCCAUUCUCUUUCUCUUUAAGGAGGUCUAGGGUGCCAAUAGACGGCUUGGUUUGUCCCCCGGGACCUGUCCGCUCCCUCCCUCACGUGAAACACAAGGCGUGGGAGGUAGCUGCCCCGGCAUUCCUGUGCCUUUGGGGGCAUUUUGGCCCUGAGAUCUCGGUCGUGCAUGGCCUCUGUGGGGUUAACUCUGGUGGCAGAGGGCCGGGGGCCUCACGACUCCGAAGCAGGUACUACAUUUUACAAAUGAGGAAACCGAGGCCAGAGCUCGUAAAGGCCGGACCAAGGGUCACACAGAUAGGAAGGGUCAGAGGCAGGAGUUUCUAAGUCCAGCAGGAGAGCCGCUCACAGCGGGAAGGACCCAGCCCCCAGACCCCCAGCACGGAUGCAGGGCUCCCCUGGAGCCCGGCCUGGGACUGCGCGCACGGUGCGGAGGCGCCCUGCUCUUAACUCAGAGGGAGAAUCCGAUAGGCUCGUUGGGCUUUAUUUGACGUGAAGCAAACCCAAUGGAGUGGCAGGAGAGGCAGCGGAGCGAACCAACGGAAUCCUCCGAAGGCGGGACGCUCCUAUAACCAGCCCGGCCUCCUCCAUCAUUGGCCGUUUGUUCGGCGGACGGCCGAAGAUUGGUGGCCGGGAAGGAAAGGGUGGAGCCCCUGCUGUGACUGAGGCCUUGGCUGAGCACGUGAAGGUGGGCGGCGGCGGUGGAGCUGUCAAAGAGCUCCGGGGGAUCCGGGCAGCGCCUCCGGGUCUGAGUGAAUCCUGGCAGGUUGGGGAAACUUAAUCCUGGCCGCCCUACCCUUCGCCGGGCCUGCCGGGGCAUUGAGCCCGCUGGAGGAACCGAAGACGUGCCUUCCCCCAGGCGCCCCACCCUGGAGCCUCACCCCACGAUCCCACCGUGCCCCGCUGGUACAGUGCCCCUCUUCACCUGGCCCCGUGCCCCCCCAGGAACACAAUAGCUAGCCAAUCAGAAAGCAGCAUGACCAGGAUGUUUGACUGUGGAACCAUGGAAGGGACUUCCUCCCUUCUGUCUUUUUAAUACUCAUCAUUUCUGUUGUGUAAUCUUUACCCUAUAAAAAUCCAUCUUGCUUUCCCUGAAGUUUCUGGUUCCUCUUGGAACCUAGCCCACUUCUGAGAGACAUCAAUCCUCAAUAAAUACCCGUACUUGGAUUAGAGGUGGCCUGACUCUGAAUUCUUUGAGACGGUGCUGCCACAACACACCAUGAAACCACAGCAAGUUGAAAUCAGCUCAGUGGAUCUUAGUUUCUUUGUUAGUAAAGUAAGAGGUUGGAAUAGAUAACCUUUGAGAUGCCUUCCAGCUUUAAAAAUAUGAUGUUUUCCUAUACAUGAUUCUCCCCACUCCCCAGUGCCUUUCUCUUGAGAAAUCUUUGGAAAACCCCAUUCCCUUAGCUUGUUCUUGUCUAUCCUUACUAGUCCUACCCUGAACCAUAUAAUAAUGAUAGCUAGCAUUUACACAGUGUUUUGACAUUUAUAAAGUACUUUACACAGGCUCACUUAUAUUUAACCGUACCCAGAGAAGGAUUACCUUUCCUCAAAUGCCCCAUAUUUCUUUGAGAUGUUUUAUUCUAUUUACUACGUCACCUUUCUUGAUUCUGUUCAUCAUCUAUCUGUAAAAUUAAAAGGGAGAACUAGGGGGUCUCAAAAUUUUAUCUCAGUUCUAAGUCUAUGUACCUUAAGACCUUUACUACUUUCCUUUUCCUUAUAAGCCCAUGAAGCCCUUCGGAGCCACCACCAUCCCCACUAUCAUUCCAUCUCCUCAUUUUUCCUUAAGUGUUUUAAAUUCUUGGUUUUUAAAAAGCUGUUAUAAAGCAAAACAUCAGAGACUGAAGGAAUCUUAGAGAUUUUCUAGUCCAACCCAGUCUAUUUCAGAUGAGGACUCUGAGGCAUACAUAGACUGGGUAAGUGACCUACCUGCCCAAGGUUAGACAAUUAGUGAUGAGUAGAGCUAAAACUUAGGGCCUAGGUCACCUGAUUCCUAGUCCAGCGGCCAUCAAUUCUGCUCUAGAGUCUUAUGAUUCCAGCAUCCUAGCCCCUUUAUUUCUGCCUGCUGGCCCUUAAUUUGUGAGUGUCCUAACUUCUUGACCCCAUUUCUAAAUGCAUCUAGCACACUCUGCCUGUGUGUUCAUCCCUGUACCCCAUUAUUUCCCUCUUCCCAUGGUCCCCACCUUCACAAUCACUCAGUAGUGCUCUCCUAUGUAACUGCUCCUGUACCCCCAAGCUACACUUCUGUUUUGAAUGAUUAAAUAUGAAACUUCCUUGACUGACCUCACCUCACUCUAAUUACUCUUUUUCUCUUAUUCCAAAAGUGUUUAAGUGAAGUUUAAACUAUAUUAUCAUGUGUUUGUAUAAACCUCUCUUAUUCAAAAUGAAGAUAUUUUAGAGUAAGGAGACCAGUAUUCAAAUUCCAGUUUAGGCCUAGAAACCUUUGCACCGAUUGUCCUUGCCUAGAACGUUCUCCAUCCUCCCUUCUGCCUCUUCAUCUCUGGCUUCCUUCAAGACUUAGCUCAAAUGCCACCUUUUAUAAGAGACCUUUGCCAGUGUCCCCAGCUGCUAGUACCUUCUCUAAGAUUACCUUCCCUAGGCUCUUUGUGUAUCUUACAUAGACCUAUUUAUUGACCUGUUAUUUCCCCCUUUGGAAUGUGAACUCCUUAAGGGCAGAGACUGUUUUUGCCUUUCUUUGUACCCAAGCUCUUGGCACAGUACCUUGAAUAUGGUAAACACUUAAUAGAUGCUUGCUGACUGACCGACAUAACCUUAAGCCUUAAUUUUCCUUAUUCUGUAAAUGAAGACUCAUUACUUGGACUACAUGCCUCACCAAGCCUAGCACGUAAAAAGGCACUCAAUAAAUGCUUGUUGACGACUCCCAGGAUGUUAUGAUAAAAGU